GGUUGUGGCUCAGUGGUAGAGCGCUUGCCUGGCAUAUGUGAGGCAUUAGGUUCCAUCCCUGGCACCA
rnacentral:tRNA from 1 species